UUCGCUUUGGCUGCUGUAACGGUCGUUUCUCGUCGCCGCGUGUAGUUCGCGUAAUUGCGAGCGUUCCAGCAAGUCUAAAGCGUUUAAGAGGCUUUGUAUUGUUGUUCUCACCUGAUGCUGUCGUUCUUGCAACCCGUCUGAUAUUGCAACUGUCUGUAAGUGGAAGCGUUUCUUCUAACCGCGAGCAGACCAGUCGGUCUCGUUUGACAUGUCAAAGAGUGAAGACGCUGCCUUGCAUGUGAAGCCAAAUCGUUCUUCGCCUUCAGGAUUCUUGCCGUUUCAGGGAUCUGCACAACGACAGGGAGAUAGAACGCCAAGUGAAGUCUACUGUAUGCUUUGUGCAGACGGUUCAGCGUGUAUGACGCAGCGGCCUCCAGCAAGAGAAACUCAAGCACCGUGUUCAAAUGCGGUGGGGACUCUUGCUCGACAUAACAACGCUUAGAAGUGCUUUUUCGGAAAUUCGGAAGAAGGACAAGUUGGACCGGAAAUGAGGACCUAGGUGUGCUCUUUUGCGUUGUUGUUCACCGUUCGAUCAUUACCAAUUUUUGUGCCCCCGUGAGUUCAACGCUCAGGUAUGUUGAUGAUAAAUGGAUAUGCGUUAAAGGGACGGUCGCAUCCGGCUCGGUCGGUUCCGAAACUAUAGUGCUGUUUCACUCCCUUUUUAUCACUGAUAAUAGCGCCGCAAACCCGACGCGAAUUGGUGGCGUUGUUCCUGUGCAGUUUGAUGUAACUCAUGACAAGAGCAGACGACGCGUAUUGAAAGUAUUCCGGGAUUCCCUCUCCGGAGAGCCACGAAAACGUCAUCCGGACCAAAGGAGUCACAUGAUCAGACUGCGCCAAUGAGGGCGCGCCUCCCGGCACAGCUGGCAGGCGGGCGUCUGCAAGGCGCAAUCUCCAAUUGUCUGCUAUCAUGUCGGAAUCAGAAAGGGAUGUCGCGUCGCUGCCAAGCGAUUUUGAAGAAGACACCGUCGAUGAAGUGGUUGUAGACGAUGACCCGUAUUCGACAGGCCCGCUAUCACUUCAUCCUGCUCGUGACAGAGGUGAGAUAUUGGACGUGACCUGCACGACGACAUGCAGUUUCAGGUACGUUUCAUUACCGGAUCGCAGGCGUACGGCGAACCUUUCCACACACCGGCUUCACAGGUCCACUUGGCAAUGACAGGUACUUCUGCGACUGCUGUAAUACCGGAGAAGCAUGGAUGGACACCUUUGCUGUAGUUCUGUGAGCCAGAUAUCUGCUCUGUGUGAAAACGCCAGGUACCCACACUUCAACGAGCUUUGCGUUCAG